GUGGGGAAUAUUGGACAAUGGGCGAAAGCCUGAUCCAGCAAUGCCGCGUGAGUGAUGAAGGCCUUAGGGUUGUAAAGCUCUUUUACCCGGGAUGAUAAUGACAGUACCGGGAGAAUAAGCUCCGGCUAACUCCGUGCCAGCAGCCGCGGUAAUACGGAGGGAGCUAGCGUUGUUCGGAAUUACUGGGCGUAAAGCGCACGUAGGCGGCUUUGUAAGUUAGAGGUGAAAGCCUGGAGCUCAACUCCAGAACUGCCUUUGAUACUGCAUGGCUUGAAUCCAGGAGAGGUGAGUGGAAUUCCGAGUGUAGAGGUGAAAUUCGUAGAUAUUCGGAAGAACACCAGUGGCGAAGGCGGCUCACUGGACUGGUAUUGACGCUGAGGUGCGAAAGCGUGGGGAGCAAACAGGAUUAGAUACCCUUGUAGUCC
rnacentral:rRNA from 1 species